ensembl:snoRNA
GUUGCACCCAAACCCUGAGGUCCGGUCGUGUCCGUGUCCUGACCUCCUCUGGUUGUGCAGACACCAACUGAACCUUGUCGCCUUUCUCUGCUGCUGCUGUGCCUCUGAAAGUGAAUCCAAGGUUCUACAGGU